GUAGAAUUAUGGAAAUAGUAUUAUAGAUAAUCAUGGAAAUCAAUGAAAUAAGAAACAGUAGGAAGAAAUUUAUGAAACUAAAACUGGUCUUUGAAAAUAUUAAUAAAGUGAAAAAUAUCUCGUCAAAGAGAUAGCGAUGAAGAUAGAGAUAGAGAAUCACAUCAUAUAAAGAGCAGAAAUGAGAUGAGGAUGGCAUUGGACAUCUCAAUGACAAUACUGGGACCUAGGAUGGAGGGGAUCCACACAGGAAAGGAGCAAAGGGAACUCCAGGCUGACUGCCAUGCUUCCGAUCUGGAGAGUGAGUUCAGAAAGGACAGAGGAUGGAGGCCUUCAGGAGAAAAUGAAAUUGUUGUGUUAAUUUUUCUUCUCUUGGGAGAGUUACCCUGUAGUCUGGGAAGCUUGGUGCCUGGUGCCAGCACUGGGACAUUUUUAGCUUCAUCAUCGUUACCAUGACCACUAUGGUCAUUACCAUCAAUAUCAUCAUCACCUUCACCAGUAUCAUCACCUUUGCCCUCAGUCACCACCAUCAUGCAGUCACUAAAAGCCAGUCAAAAGUAAACAGAUAAGACUUCUGUGUGCAGCCAUGACUGAGUAACCAAUACUAGCCUUAUCUUCCCGCUGUAAACUGGAAAACUGGAAAAAUAUGUGUAACUAAGCUUUAGACAUCUGAGAACAAGCAUCUGGGGACUGGGAUUUAAGAUGGAAGAGAAAAAAA
rnacentral:lncRNA from 1 species